CCAUGCCUACGGGGCGCAGCAGUAGGGAAUAUUGCUCAAUGGGGGGAACCCUGAUGCAGCGACGCCGCGUGGGCGAUGGAGUACUUCGGUAUGUAAAGCCCUCUCAGCAGGGAAGAAAAUGACGGUACCUGACUAAGAAGCCCCGGCUAAAUACGUGCCAGCAGCCGCGGUAAUACGUAUGGGGCAAGCGUUAUCCGGAUUUACUGGGUGUAAAGGGAGCGUAGGCGGCCUGGCAAGCCUGAUGUGAAAUACCGGGGCCCAACCCCGGGGCUGCAUUGGGAACUGCCAGGCUGGAGUGCCGGAGG
rnacentral:rRNA from 1 species